AGUUCGAUCCUGCUCAGAUUGAACGCUGGCGGGAUGCUUUACACAUGCAAGUCGAACGGCAGCACGGACUUCUGGUCUGGCGGCGAGUGGCGAACGGGUGAGGCACGUAUCGGAACGUGCCUAGUAGCGGGGAUAACUACGCGAAAGGUAGCUAAUACGCAAGCACGCCCUUCGGGGGAAAGCGGGGGACCUUCGGGCCUCGCACUAGGAGCGUGGCCGAUAUCGGAUUAGCUAGUUGGUGGGGCAACGGCUCACCAAGGCGACGAUCCGUAGCUGGUUUGAGAGGACGACCAGCCACACUGGGACUGGAGAUGGCCCAGACUCCUACGGGAGGCAGCAGUGGGGGAAUUUUGACAAUGGGGAAACCUCGAUCCAGCCAUCUGGCGCGUGUGCGAUGAAGGCCUUCGCUGCCAAAAGCACUUUUGGCAGGAAAGAAAAACGCAUACGGGAUAAUACCCCGUGCAACUGACGGUACCUGCAGAAUAGGCACCGGCUAACUACGUGCCGCAGCUGUGGUAAUACGUAGGGUGCAAGUGUUGGUGACCGGAAUUACUGGGCGUGGCAAGCGCAGGCGGUUCGGAAAGAAAAGAUGAAAUCCCAGAGCUUAACUUUGAACUACUUAACUACUGAGCUGAGUGUGUCAGAGGGAGGUGGAAUUCGGUGUAGCAGUGAAUGCGUAGAUAUGUGAGGAACACCGAUGGCGAAGGCAGCCUCCAGAUAACACUGACGCUCAUGCACGAAAGCGUGGGGAGCAAACAGGAUUAGAUACCCUGGUAGUCCACGCCCAAACGAUGUCAACCAGCUGUUGGGGCCUUCGUACGGGUAGCGCAGCUUUCAACGCGUGAAGUUGACCUGCCUGAAGAGCAUGGCCGCAAGAUUAAAACUCAAAGGAAUUGACGGGACCCGCACAAGCGGUGGAUGAUGUGGAUUAAUUGAUGCAACGCGAAAACCUACCUACCCUUGCGUGAUGUCUGGAAUCCCGAAGAGAUUUUGGGAGUGUCGUAAGAGAACCGAACACAGGUGCUGCAUGAAGGUCGUCAGCUCGUGUCGUGAGAUGUUGUUAAGUCCCGCAACGAGCGCAAACCUCUUGUCAUUAGUUACGCUAGAAAGGGCACUCUAAUGAGACUGCCGGUGACAAACCGAGGAAGGUGGGGAUGACGUCAAGUCCUGCGGCCCUUGGUGGGUAGGGCUUCACACGUCAUACAAUGGCUACCGGACAGAGGUCGCCAACCAUGAGGGGGAGCCAAUCCCAGGAACUGAUCGUAGUCCGAUCGCAGUCUGCAACUCGACUGCGUGAAGUCGAAAUCGCUAGUAAUCGCGGAUCAGCAUGUCGCGGUGAAUAUUGUUCCCGGGCCUUGUACACACCGCCCGUCACACCAUGGGAGUGGGUUUUACCAGAAGUAGUUAGCCUAACCGUAAGGAGGGCGAUUACCACGAAUCCAUGAGGAAGUAGUCGCAAUGUAAGGUAGC
rnacentral:rRNA from 1 species